AUGGUGGAGCGCUCGCCGGUUGAAGCGUCGUUGCGGUCUGCUUGCAGAGGGAGGUCUGAUUAUUGCGAGUCGCGUCACGGAGGGGGGGUCGUGCGUCUGUGGAAGAUGGUCGGCCUUGAGCUGUGCGAUGUUAUGGGAGGUACGAUUGAAAGGGCUGUGCAAAGAUGUUUGCACAAUUGCAGGAGGGCGGCUGAUGUUGCAGUUCCGUGGUCAAAGUCGCUCGUCGAAGACGCACGUGGUGAGCUCAUUUCUGGGAAUCUUUUGCCGGCUUGCAAUGGUGGAAGUGUUAUGCGGAGAUAUACGAUUCAUGGAGAUAAUGCAGAGCGCAGGAUCGGAGGCCCAAGGUGUUGA